UAGCAUGUGCUGUUCUCCCUGUCAUGGCCUGGAAAAUACUUCCAGACCCUGGAGUCUUUGCUUUUUGUCUUCUCCCAGUGUUGGUACCACAUGGCAUUGACAGCUGAGCCCCACUUCGCUGGCGUGAACGCCUUGUGAUCUCCGGAGAUCUGAAUGAAAAUGUGUCUCAAGUUGGUCCAAUCUAAACAAGCAGCUGGCCUCCAGGUGUGUGCUUGUUUGGGCAGCGGACCUCAGAGCAGAGAGGUUGUGGCUGAACUCCGAGCCAGGGGUGCAGUGAGCUCGCUCUCUGCCUUCUGCGUGACCGCACAGAAACCAGAGAAUGAAGAUCAAUCCUGCGGAAUUUUACAUGAGUAGAGAGUUUACUAUUAUCCCUUCUUGUGUUUAUGGUUUCCAAGACCUGGGCAAGACUUUUCUAGAAGGCCAGACCGGGCACGCAAGGGAGCCUGUGGGAAUCUACACCUUGCAGAACACGUUAUGGGUCUUUUAAAAAAAUAAUAAACUGAAGCAUAAAAGAGA